rnacentral:rRNA from 1 species
UGGGGAAUAUUGGACAAUGGGCGAAAGCCUGAUCCAGCCAUGCCGCAUGAGUGAAGAAGGCCUUUGGGUUGUAAAGCUCUUUUAGUGAGGAAGAUAAUGACGGUACUCACAGAAGAAGUCCUGGCUAACUCCGUGCCAGCAGCCGCGGUAAUACGGAGAGGGCUAGCGUUAUCCGGAAUUAUUGGGCGUAAAGGGCGCGUAGGCUGGUUAAUAAGUUAAAAGUGAAAUCCCGAGGCUUAACCUUGGAAUUGCUUUUAAAACUAUUAAUCUAGAGAUUGAAAGAGGAUAGAGGAAUUCCUGAUGUAGAGGUAAAAUUCGUAAAUAUUAGGAGGAACACCAGUGGCGAAGGCGUCUAUCUGGUUCAAAUCUGACGCUGAAGCGCGAAGGCGUGGGGAGCAAACA